rnacentral:rRNA from 1 species
AUUGAACGCUGGCGGCAUGCCUUACACAUGCAAGUCGAACGGUAACGCGGGGCAGCCUGGCGACGAGUGGCGAACGGGUGAGUAAUGCAUCGGAACGUGCCUGGUAGUGGGGGAUAACUGCUCGAGAGAGCAGCUAAUACCGCAUACGACCUGAGGGUGAAAGGGGGGGAUCGCAAGACCUCUCGCUAUCAGAGCGGCCGAUGUCGGAUUAGCUAGUUGGUGGGGUAAAGGCCCACCAAGGCGACGAUCCGUAGCUGGUCUGAGAGGACGACCAGCCACCCUGGGACUGAGACACGGCCCAGACUCCUACGGGAGGCAGCAGUGGGGAAUUUUGGACAAUGGACGCAAGUCUGAUCCAGCCUUGCCGCGUGCGGGAAGAAGGCCUUCGGGUUGUAAACCGCUUUUGUCAGGGAAGAAAUCUUCUGGGUUAAUACCUCGGGAGGAUGACGGUACCUGAAGAAUAAGCACCGGCUAACUACGUGCCAGCAGCCGCCGCAGUAA